CGCUGAGAAACAGAAAAGCAAAGCCCGCCUCUGACAUCACAAGCCUGGCUGAAAUGAGAGCUAACAAUCAGAAAUGAUCAGGAAACAACUCCAACCACAGUGAGCAAGAUAAAGCGAGGUGACCCCUGUGAAACGUCAUUGGAGCCCUCCAAAGGGUCCACAACCCACAGGUUGAGGACCACUGUUCUAGAGGAAGCAACUGGAAAGAAGGACUCUUGGGAACAUGAGAGCAUGGAGCCUUGCAAAGGGGGUUGUUACAUAGCAAAGAAUAACUAAGACAUGCCUGUCCUAGCCUGCUUCUUUGGUUGCUC
rnacentral:lncRNA from 1 species